ACCAAACGGGCGGGCGCGCGCCGCGGAGGGCGGACGGAUCUGGCACGCGUUCUCGCGUGGGUCGCCCUAGUCCCUCAGGGCGGGUGUGUUGGACAUCCAGAAGACGGCUUUCCGACCCAUUGAGUUAGGAACUCUGUCCCAACCCCGCCUGGGACCUAUGGCCUUCAUCACAAAUGGUGAGAGGUCGGGCGGUGUGCUUGCGCAGUGAGUGAAAUCCCUCUGGGUAGCAGACACCGCCUUUCCUGCGGAGUCAUCGCCCUGAGCUCAGGAGCCUGAGACCUCUUUACCUAACAAAACACUACCUAGAUUCACAAUCAAGCCACAUGGAGUCACUUUCCCAUGUGCCCGUGCUGUUUCCUGAUUUUAGUCGUUAAAAUCAGACAUACCUAAGCGACAGAGUUGAGGAAAAGGGUGAUGCCAUGUGCAGAUUUAAAAUAGCCUUUUCAUAACCCACUCGUUUUUCAAUAUGCUGAUAACGCUGUAAGAUUGAAGUGGCUAAGGAUUUGGCUAGAUCCUUGAGAAUCCUGAUCGCCUCGGGUUGUAUUUGGUGACCCAAAGCUUUGAAUAAUGUGGAAAGAAACAGCAGGUUUUUCUACAUGUGAAACGAGCUUUGUUCCUGCCACCCCAAGAGAAAGGCAGUAAGGAUUUGAUGUUUGGGUCAAUUUAGUAACCGCCAAUUCUCUCUCCCUAAUUUUAAAGAAGAGAAAUUGCUUUCCUUAUUUGCCUUAUAAAGAGCAUGUUCAAAAUGAAAAUUUGAAGCCAGCUUGGCACAGGCAGUACACAUAAUUUAAAAAAAAAUUCUAAAUUUACUUAGGUUGAGUUCUGGCUUGUGUUACCCAAGAUGGCCUUGAAUUUAAGAAAGCCAAAAAAUCGACUUCUGCAGAGAGGUGUUAAAAUAUGUCAGUACUGAAGGAGUAGAGGAGUUGAGGCAGAACUUUUCUGUCUAAACUGACAAAGACUUGAACUGGACCUCAUAGAUAUGCAAAUUUUCUGUAGGUGGAGUUGGAAGGAAGUUCUUGAGAUGAGAAAAUUGUACAGAAGAGCAAAAAAGUGACUCUCAGGUAUUUGGGGGAUCCAUAUACUAAAAAUGUUUUGGGAGCAAUGGAGAUGGCUCAGCAGGUAAGGACACUUGCCACCAAACCUGAUGGCCUGAAUUUAAUUCCCAGAACUCAACGUGGUGAAAGAAGAGAUUGAAUUGUACUCUGACCUCUAUACAAAUUCACAUACAUACAUUAAUAAAUGUGAAAUUUUAAUAAAAAUGAGGACAUGAUGGCUCUAAACUAUACUGUCCACAAAGAGACUGGGAACGUCAGUCUUCUGGUCUGUUCAUGGUGUGUCAUUAUAGAAUAUUACAAGUUUCUUUUAUGUUUCAGUUUAUCCAAACAGCUAAACCUUAACAAAGUUAGCAAAUACAAAGAGACUAGGCAUAUACCUUCAAGUCAGUUAGUGUUAACCUGAGUAGACCUUCAGGAAUUGAUGAGCCUUAUUUAUCAGAGAUAGCUUAUUCAUCCAACACAAGUUAUUACUUAUCUAAAAUUUUCUAGAAGCUUGGUGUUGAACAGUCAGCAAAAAUAUAAGUGGUUAGACAUCAGUCUCUAAGUCUUAAUUCUUUCUCAAUGUCUUCAUCCCCAAUCUCUCUUACUUGAUUUGAUCCUACUUGAAGCAACAGUACUCAUGUUUCCACCCAGUUUUUUUUUUCUCACUGGCUACAUUACUAUUGAUCAUUUCUUUGUACACACUAAUCAGGCCCUGUCAAAUUAAUUGGUAGAAAAUACAACUUAUUUUAUCACAGAUUCAUUAAACAUUUUGCACUGAUCAUGUA
rnacentral:lncRNA from 1 species